CCCGGGAGCUGCAGCAGGCGGCUGCAGAGGGGGCGCCUCUGCAGGAACUGGAGCGCGGUCAGGAACUAGAGCGCGGUCAGGAACAGGAGGUGGCUGCAGUGGGGGCGCCGGCCCGGGAGCUGCAGCAGGCGGCUGCAGAGGGGGCGCCUGCCCGGGAGCUGCAGCAGGCGGCUGCAGAGGGGGCGCCUCUGCAGGAACUGGAGCGCGGUCAGGAACUAGAGCGCGGUCAGGAACAGGAGGUGGCUGCAGUGGGGGCGCCGGCCCGGGAGCUGCAGCAGGCGGCUGCAGAGGGGGCGCCUCUGCAGGAACUGGAGCGCGGUCAGGAACUGGAGCGCGG